AGGACUAAAAUAAAAUAAAAUGGA
rnacentral:miRNA from 1 species